rnacentral:rRNA from 1 species
UGGGGAAUAUUGGACAAUGGGCGAAAGCCUGAUCAAGCAAUGCCGCGUGGGUGAAGAAGGUCUUCGGAUUGUAAAGCACUUUAAGUGGGGAGGAAGGGCAGUAAGCGAAUACCUUGCUGUUUUGACGUUACCGACAGAAUAAGCACCGGCUAACUCUGUGCCAGCAGCCGCGGUAAUACAGAGGGUGCAAGCGUUAAUCGGAAUUACUGGGCGUAAAGCGCGCGUAGGUGGUUCGUUAAGUUGAAUGUUAAAGCCCCGGGCUCAACCUGGGGACUGCAUCCAAAACUGGCGAGCUAGAGUAGGGCAGAGGGUGGUGGAAUUUCCUGUGUAGCGGUGAAAUGCGUAGAUAUAGGAAGGAACACCAGUGGCGAAGGCGACCACCUGGGCUCAUACUGACACUGAGGUGCGAAAGCGUGGGGAGCAAACAGG